rnacentral:rRNA from 1 species
GAUGAACGCUGGCGGCGUGCUUAACACAUGCAAGUCGAACGAAGCACCUCUAAUUGAAGAUUGACGAAGCUUGCUUCUGAUUGAUUCGCCUUGAGGUGACUGAGUGGCGGACGGGUGAGUAACGCGUGGGUAACCUACCCUAUACAGGGGGAUAACAGUUGGAAACAGCUGCUAAUACCGCAUAAGCGCACACUGACGCAUGUCAGAGUGUGAAAAACUCCGGUGGUACAGGAUGGACCCGCGUCUGAUUAGCUUGUUGGCGGGGUAACGGCCCACCAAGGCGACGAUCAGUAGCCGGCCUGAGAGGGUGAACGGCCACAUUGGGACUGAGACACGGCCCAGACUCC